GAUGAACGCUGGCGGCAUGCUUUACACAUGCAAGUCGAACGGUAGAGGGGGCAACCCCUUGAGAGUGGCGAACGGGUGAGUAAUGCAUCGGAACGUGCCCAGUCGUGGGGGAUAACGCAGCGAAAGCUGUGCUAAUACCGCAUACGAUCUCUGGAUGAAAGCGGGGGACCGAAAGGCCUCGCGCGAUUGGAGCGGCCGAUGUCAGAUUAGGUAGUUGGUGGGGUAAAGGCUCACCAAGCCAACGAUCUGUAGCUGGUCUGAGAGGACGACCAGCCACACUGGGACUGAGACACGGCCCAGACUCCUACGGGAGGCAGCAGUGGGGAAUUUUGGACAAUGGGCGCAAGCCUGAUCCAGCAAUGCCGCGUGCAGGAAGAAGGCCUUCGGGUUGUAAACUGCUUUUGUACGGAACGAAAAGGUCUGGGUUAAUACCCUGGGCACAUGACGGUACCGUAAGAAUAAGCACCGGCUAACUACGUGCCAGCAGCCGCCGUAA
rnacentral:rRNA from 1 species